AAAUUGAAGAGUUUGAUCAUGGCUCAGAUUGAGCGCUGGCGGCAGGCCUAACACAUGCAAGUCGAACGGUAACAGGAAACAGCUUGCUGUUUCGCUGACGAGUGGCGGACGGGUGAGUAAUGUCUGGGAAACUGCCUGAUGGAGGGGGAUAACUACUGGAAACGGUAGCUAAUACCGCAUAACGUCGCAAGACCAAAGAGGGGGACCUUCGGGCCUCUUGCCAUCGGAUGUGCCCAGAUGGGAUUAGCUAGUAGGUGGGGUAACGGCUCACCUAGGCGACGAUCCCUAGCUGGUCUGAGAGGAUGACCAGCCACACUGGAACUGAGACACGGUCCAGACUCCUACGGGAGGCAGCAGUGGGGAAUAUUGCACAAUGGGCGCAAGCCUGAUGCAGCCAUGCCGCGUGUAUGAAGAAGGCCUUCGGGUUGUAAAGUACUUUCAGCGGGGAGGAAGGGAGUAAAGUUAAUACCUUUGCUCAUUGACGUUACCCGCAGAAGAAGCACCGGCUAACUCCGUGCCAGCAGCCGCGGUAAUACGGAGGGUGCAAGCGUUAAUCGGAAUUACUGGGCGUAAAGCGCACGCAGGCGGUUUGUUAAGUCAGAUGUGAAAUCCCCGGGCUCAACCUGGGAACUGCAUCUGAUACUGGCAAGCUUGAGUCUCGUAGAGGGGGGUAGAAUUCCAGGUGUAGCGGUGAAAUGCGUAGAGAUCUGGAGGAAUACCGGUGGCGAAGGCGGCCCCCUGGACGAAGACUGACGCUCAGGUGCGAAAGCGUGGGGAGCAAACAGGAUUAGAUACCCUGGUAGUCCACGCCGUAAACGAUGUCGACUUGGAGGUUGUGCCCUUGAGGCGUGGCUUCCGGAGCUAACGCGUUAAGUCGACCGCCUGGGGAGUACGGCCGCAAGGUUAAAACUCAAAUGAAUUGACGGGGGCCCGCACAAGCGGUGGAGCAUGUGGUUUAAUUCGAUGCAACGCGAAGAACCUUACCUGGUCUUGACAUCCACGGAAGUUUUCAGAGAUGAGAAUGUGCCUUCGGGAACCGUGAGACAGGUGCUGCAUGGCUGUCGUCAGCUCGUGUUGUGAAAUGUUGGGUUAAGUCCCGCAACGAGCGCAACCCUUAUCCUUUGUUGCCAGCGGUCCGGCCGGGAACUCAAAGGAGACUGCCAGUGAUAAACUGGAGGAAGGUGGGGAUGACGUCAAGUCAUCAUGGCCCUUACGACCAGGGCUACACACGUGCUACAAUGGCGCAUACAAAGAGAAGCGACCUCGCGAGAGCAAGCGGACCUCAUAAAGUGCGUCGUAGUCCGGAUUGGAGUCUGCAACUCGACUCCAUGAAGUCGGAAUCGCUAGUAAUCGUGGAUCAGAAUGCCACGGUGAAUACGUUCCCGGGCCUUGUACACACCGCCCGUCACACCAUGGGAGUGGGUUGCAAAAGAAGUAGGUAGCUUAACCUUCGGGAGGGCGCUUACCACUUUGUGAUUCAUGACUGGGGUGAAGUCGUAACAAGGUAACCGUAGGGGAACCUGCGGUUGGAUCACCUCCUUACCUUAAAGAAGC
rnacentral:rRNA from 1 species